rnacentral:rRNA from 1 species
GACGGAGGAUGCAAGUGUUAUCCGGAAUCACUGGGCGUAAAGCGUCUGUAGGUUGUUUAAAAAGUCUGCAGUUAAAGGUUGAAGCUUAACUUCAAAAAUGCCGUAGAAACUUUUAAACUAGAGGAUGGUAGGGGUAGAGGGAAUUUCCAGUGGAGCGGUGAAAUGUGUAGAUAUUGGAAAGAACACCAACGGCGAAAGCACUCUGCUGGGCCGACACUGACACUGAGAGACGAAAGCUAGGGGAGCGAAUGGG